UUCAAUUUUAAGGUGUUACUAUGGAGAUUCAACUUGGCGAUUGAUAGUCUGUUGAACAGAUGGGACUAUAUAGAUAUGUUUACGACGUUGUGUUGGCGGCUCCCUCCUCAAUGCUUAGUACCAUUCUGGACACUUUCAACUCGUUCCACACAAGGUUGCAGUUUACUAUGGAGGAGAGUGCCGACAAUCGUUUGAAUUUCCUUGAUGUCACUAUCAUUUUGGAGGAUGGAUUGAUUCAUUUUAAUUGGUUUCAUAAACCGACUUUCUCGGGGAGAUACCUCCAUUUUGAGUCGCGACACCCCCUUUGCCAGAAGAUGGAUUUAACAAUAGACUUAAUGAUGCUUUGACUAUAGAUAGAAAUGUGAGUGACGAUGUUAAUGAAGGAGUGAGGAUCUCAUAUUUUAAUGAUCCGUAUAUUAAUAACAUAUCUGAGCGUUUCCGGCUUUGCGUCAGAGAUCUUGAUGUCAAACUUUCCUACACUGGAAUAAAUAAUUUGCGCCGUUUUAUUAAAGUCAGCAAAGAUAAGAUGGAUAAAGACUCGCGCAGCAAUAUAGUUUACAAGAUCAACUGUGGAUUGCGACGCUUCUUACGUUAGACAAACAAGACGCUUAUUAAGGACGAGAAUUAAAGAACAUAAAAGGAACCUUACGUCCAUCAUUGCCGAGCACAGAGCGUUAGAACAUACAUUUGAUUUUGACGACAUUGAGGUUUUGGAUGAGGAAACAUUUUUAGGAAAGAGAUUAAUAUCGGAGAUGAUCUAUAUUAAGCGUCAAAAAAAUGCGUUUAAUCUCCAUAGUGACACCGUAAAAUUGAAUACUUCGUGUUUAUCGAUUAUUGAAAUCAUGUCUAAAAUUUAAUAGUUUGUUGUUUGUUAGGACUGUUCUUGUCCUCAGUGUAUACGGAUUGUUUUUGUCGAUCACACUAUGAUGUCAUUUUAUCGUUAGCAUUCGAAUCUUUUUGCUUAGUCGGCUAUGUGCGUGCUGAGUAUUCGUCUCCGUUUCUGAUUCGUCUUCUCGAGUCCAAUGCAUCACUCUUUGCGCCUUGCACCGCUUAAAGGGCUACUUGCAUUUGGUUUCCUUCGAGUCGACUUGCCUUGACGAGUUCACGUUCACUCUUUAAGACUAUGCAAGUUUGAUAACUACAUUUUUUCUCUCUUAUCUAUUAAUGACUGCGUUUUUAAUGUUAUUUUAUUUGCUUCUUUUUUGUC